AACAAACUCAAUCUAUUUGUAUAACGUUAAUCUUUCCUCCUCGUACAGGUGUUUCUGAGCCUGUUAGUCGUCCUGAGUCAGAGCAGACGUGGUGGUUACAUGUGCCGGACAACAGAACGACACGGAGGUUCACCUGCAGUUGAAGGUGUCUUUAGUCGAGGUGUUCGUCAUACAGCACUUUGUAACCGGAGACGAUGGUUUCUGGAAACUCGACUGUAAUUACACCCGAAGAAACACGCCGACGUUAAACGGUCGGUUCAGGCCACAGACGCAUCAGGUUGCGUUAUUAUAAACCGAGCGCUCGCAGCCUGCUGUUUGAAAAAUGUUUGAAUAUGUUUAUUGAAAACAGCUUGUAAAAUCCUGAUCAGUAAACCGCAGUAAAUCCCUGCGGGACAGAUGGUGAUAUGAAUCCACUGAACGCUGCUGGUGGAGAGGAGACGGUGAAAUAAUGGCUCCACCCGCCACGGAAAAUUACACCAAACACCAGAACCUAAAAAAAAACCACAUCCCAGUCCGAUGAUUCAGAGCUUUUCAUGGUCACGAGGUGAAUGUUCAAUGAUCUUCACAAAACAUUCAUAUGAGAUUCAUGUGAAAACGACUCGCCGCCUCCGAACUGACGGAAGAGUUUCCCACAACGUGAAUGUUCUGAUACGAGGAAGAGACGAAGCUCGAGACCAAAUGGGACUGAAAGUAGCAGAAGAAGAAAAAAUAACAUCUGCAACGCCAUGACAACCGGGCAAAAUCCAGCUGCUGAGGAGAGGAGCAUGUGAUCUGAUCAAAAGUUCCAGAAUGGCCUUUGAGGUGACAUUGUUUUAUCAACAACAAAUCUUAUGUUGAGAUCAAUACAGAUGUUGAAAUGAUCGUU